UUCUCUUAUGAAAGGCCGUUCUCUUCUCUCACUCUCAAUCAAAUUUAUCACUUCUCUUAUACAAAUUAAGAAGAAUUUAUGAUGGUUGUGUGUUUAACAACUUAUUUACCAUCGACUAGUUAGGGUUCAACAACUUUCAGAAGAUUUGGAAAUGCUAGCUCACCUCUGAUUUCAGGUUUCAUCAGAGAUUCAAUUCACCAACUUAUUAGGAUGUAUCAAUGUCUUGUUGUUCCCCCAAGAAAAGAAUGGAUUUAUGCACCUAAGUAUUCACCUACAUGGGUUGCCGGUGUUCAAUCUUUCAUCAAAUUUACAAGAGACAAUCUUGGUGAAGCUAGCGAUAAAGUUCGAUGUCCUUGCAUGAAAUGUAAGAAUUACAAUAGCUUACCAAAAUCUCUAGAAGAUGUACAUGGGGAUAUUCUUGAGAAUGGAUUCAAUAUGACAAACCAAACAUGGAUCCAUCACGGAGAUCAAUCUAUGGAUCAUGUUUUCGGUGUUGAAGCUCCUCCUUUACCCGCUAAUUAUGUUGUGAAUGAAGAUGUUCCUGUUUCGAGAAUUCACAACUUGUUCAACGAGACAUUAGGACGUGCAGUUUGUGUCAGUAACUUUGAAAAUUGCCAAAAUAGUUCUGAUUGUCCCCCGGGUGCUGAUGUUGAAGAUGAUACUGGUGGUAAUAAUCAAGAUAGAGCUGGUGACAAUUACAGUAAAAGGGUACAAGAUGCUGGACAACCCUUAUAUCCAGGUUGUAGUCGUGAACAUACAAAAUUGUCGGCAACAGUUGAGUUGCUUAGUAUGAAAGCAAGAUAUCAAUGCUCUGAUGUUUUCAUGACUGAGUUAUUGGGAUACUUGAAAACCAUUUUACCGGUUGAGAAUAUGUUGCCUCAUAAUUGUAGGAAAGCUAAGGAUAUGAUCAAACCGUUUCAGUUGCCGGUCCAAAUUAUCCAUGCUUGUAUUUUGUAUGGGAAGGAUUAUGCUGAUUUUUAGGAGUGUCCUAAAUAUAAGGAAAGUAGAUGGAAAAAGCCGCCAGAAGGGAGUAUUCCAACUACAAGAAAGGUGGCGGUAAAGGUACUUAGAUAUUUUCCAGUUACGGAGAGGUUACAGCGAAUGUAUAGUGUACCUUGGAUAGCUGAGCUGAUGAUUUGGUAUUCUAAGGUUGUGGAAAGUGCUACAUACAUGAGGCAUCCUGUAGAUUCUUCUCAGUGGAAGGCUAUAGAUCGAAAGUGGCCUGAGUUUUCUGAAGAGAAGCGAAACGUGCUUCUGGGACUAGCAACUGAUAGUUUUUGUCCUUUCUGGAUGAUGAGCACGCACAGUACCUGGACUGUCAUGAUUGUUCCUUGUAAUCUUCCACCAGAAUUAUGCACGUCCAAAGAUUUCACCAUGUUAACAAUGCUGAUUCCUGGUCCAACUGGUCCUAACCAUAACGUAGAUGUUUAUUUACAUCCCUUGAUUGACGAGUUGCUUGAGUUAUGGUCAGAGGGAAAGGUAACAUAUGAUGCACAUACAAAGACUUACUUCACAAUGAAAGCAAUCUUAUUGUGGUGCAUACAUGACUUUCCGGGAUAUGCCCAUGUUUCGGGUCUGCGAAAUUCUGGAAAAUUUGGUUGUCCUGUGUGUGGAGAAAAUACAGAGGCAUUAAGGUUAAAAUGGGGCAAAAAGUAUGCUUAUAUGGGUCAUAGAAAGUUUCUAAGAGAUAUGAAUCACCCUUAUAGACGACAGAAGUCUCAGUUCAACGGAAAUCAGGAUAACAGGCGUGCACCAAGCCGUUUGAGUGGCGUCGAUUUGUUCGAGAAGACAACAACCGCAGAUAAAGAAUUUGGGAAGUUGGUAAAGCGGCCGGUCAAGGUUACGUCUUCAUGGUCGAAGAGAUCGAUCUUAUUUCGUCUCCCAUAUUGAAAGGCAUUGUUAGCCUGACCUAUUUUUCUGCAUGUUCGACGCAAUGUGGAUGUCAUGCAUGUGGAAAAGAACUUUGCAGAGAAUUUGUUUGGAACCUUUAUGAACCAUAAGGAUAAGUCGAAGGAUGGGGUUCCCGCGUUCAAAGAUUUAAAACUGCUGAAGUUGAAGCCUAGAUUGUGGUUGAAGGAAAAUAAUGGAAAAUCAGUGGCCCCCCAUGCACCUUAUCGCUUGUCUGACUCUGAAAGGAAAGUUAUCUGCAAAACUCUUAGCACAUUGAAAGUACCAAUUGGUUACAGUGGGAACUGGAGAAAGAAAGUAUGUUUGAAAGAGUUUCAAUUGAAGGGUCUCAAAUCCCAGGACUAUCACAUUUUUAUGCAGGAAGAGGCACAUUUAUUGGGGCCUGUUCAGUUUAGGUGGAUGUACCCUUUUGAGAGGAUGAUGAGAACUUACAAGGUUUAUGGCCGCAACAAAAAUUAUAUAGAAGCGUCUAUUCAAAAACAGUAUGAGGUCAUUGAAGGAGCGCGCCAAUGCAUGGAGUUCGUUCAUGAGGGAAAGAAAAAGUCUUAUAAGUGUCGUGGAAAGAUAUUAAUGCCCGAUGAUGUUUAUGAAGGUCCAUACCCAUGUGAUUCACAGGGAAAACCAUAUGAGCUAACCACCUUAAAGUAUGAUCAAGUUCGUCUAUGGAUAUUGAGACACUCAGAUGAAAAUACUGAAUGGGAAGCGUAAGUAAAUAAGUUGGUUUCUGUUUGAAUUAAUUCAUUGCACUAUAAAAAGAAACAUUCACUUAUCAAUGUCUUUGUCAGUUUAUAGGAAAUACAAUACACUUACCAAUGUCUUUGUCAUUUGACGGGAAAUAUAAUGCGUAUGUUUCUAAUCUUAACCAAACUCGUAGGGGAAGGACCGAAACUAUGGACUACAAUUCCAUGGUUAAGAGGACAACUUGAAGGCACUCCAAUGACAGAUUUUCGUAGGCUCGCAAUUGGGCCGAUGUUCCGCACAGUUUCGUAUAAUUCAUACUGUAUUAAUGGCUAUCUUUUCUACACAACAGAUGCAGAAAAACAUUUGAUUACACAAAAUAGUGGAGUCACAAUGAAUGCUUGCACCAGCUUUAGAGCAAGUUCCAGGGAUACUAACCUUGUCGAUGACGAUACUGCAUACUACGACAUUCUGAAAAGAUAUACUUGAACUAGACUAUGGGGUUUUCACAGAAGUUGUCUUUUAUUGUGAUUGGGCGCGAGUCGAAGACAAAGUACAUGGAUCAUAUGUGGAUCGAGAGACAAAGUUGAGGUUUGUCAAUUUUGAAAAGUUUGCGAGAAGCUCAAAGGAAGAAGACGAGCCGUUCAUCCAUGCUUCUCAAGCUAACCAAGUUUUUUACUGCAGCGAUUUGACAAGAAAGCAUUGAAAUCUGGUUUUGGAAUCUCCUAUAAGAUCAGACCCCCAUAUGAAUGCUUUUGAAGAUCCAUAUGUCUUCACUGCAACCUCUAGUGAUGCUCCAUUGAUUUCAGAAACAGUUGGAGAUGAUGAUUAUUGGAGUGGAAUUGCUCAGGGAGAUGAUGAGUAUUCCGAUGUAGAUGAUCAGGAACUAGCACUAGCUGAAUAAGCAGAUGAUGAAUAUUCAGAUGGGGAUGCUUAGGUAAUAACGCUCGUUCAAUCCUUGUUUAAUUCUCUUUGUCGUUGAUGGAUCUACAAGGUCAAGCCAUAGCAAUGCUUAUAUGUAUGGUUUUUUCAAAAACAAGUGUAUAGUGCUGUAUGACACCUUGAUUCAACAGUGUUUCGGGAGAUCAAGAACACAUCAAUCAUAUUCUGUGUCUCAUGUGUAUAUCUAUAUGUAGCUAGCAACACUUUGUUGGGUGCUGCUAGGUGCAAAGCACCCUUGAUUAAUGGGUGUCACUAACCCAAAAUGGAAACUAUUUAAAUCCUGUUGGGACCCACUGAUUCGUCAUCUCUAAGGCUAAUGCCAUGUGUCGCAGGAUGGAUUUUUUUAAAUUCUCUUAACUUGGGAAAUUCCCUUGCAAUUAGGGGUUCACCAGUUAGGAAUGCUGCUCGAGAUCUGUAGAAAUUGAGAUAUUAUUUUAUCUGAAUGCGACACUGAAUUGUAAACAGUGUCAUGUUGAAAAGUUUCAGGUGUAAAAUGUUCAUUCAAGUGAAUGGCAUUGUUUUGUACACAUGAUGAUAAUCUUGACUCUGGGCUAAAUAUGAAUAUAUUGUUUUCGCUUAUGCAUGAUUGAUCAGUGAUUCCUGCAUAUCAGAAAAGAAACA